rnacentral:rRNA from 1 species
CAGCCUGCAACUCGGCUGCACGAAGCCGGAAUCGCUAGUAAUCGCAGAUCAGCAUGCUGCGGUGAAUACGUUCCCGGGUCUUGUACACACCGCCCGUCACACCAUGGGAGCCGGGAAUGCCCGAAGUCAGCGGCCCAACCGAAAGGAGGGAGCUGCCGAAGGCAGGCCUGGUGACUGGGGUGAAGUCGUAACAAGGUACC